AUUGAACGCUGGCGGCAGGCUUAACACAUGCAAGUCGAACGAGUGGCGGACGGGUGAGUAAUGCUUGGGAAUCUAGCUUAUGGAGGGGGAUAACUACGGGAAACUGUAGCUAAUACCGCGUACCAUAGGAUGAGCCCCAGUGGGAUUAGGUAGUUGGUGAGGUAAAGGCUCACCAAGACGACGAUCCCUAGCUGGUCUGAGAGGAUGACACGCCACACUGGUACUGAGCAACGGCCCAGACUCCUACGGUAGGCAGCAGUGGGGAAUAUUGCGCAAUGGGGGCAACCCUGACGCAGCCAUGCCGCGUGAAUGAAGAAGGCCUUCGGGUUGUAAAGUUCUUUCAGCGGGGAGGCGUUACCCGCAGAAGAAGCACCGGCUAACUCCGUGCCAGCAGCCGCGGUAAUUC
rnacentral:rRNA from 1 species